CCUACGGGUGGCUGCAGUAGGGAAUAUUGGACAAUGGGCGCAAGCCUGAUCCAGCCAUGCCGCGUGAGUGAAGAAGGCCCUCGGGUUGUAAAGCUCUUUUGUCCGGAAAGAAAAGCAAUCGGUUAAUACCCGGUUGUUCUGACGGUACCGGAAGAAUAAGCACCGGCUAACUUCGUGCCAGCAGCCGCGGUAAUACGAAGGGUGCAAGCGUUGCGCGGAAUUAGUGGGGGUAAAGCGUGAGUUGUGGGGUGAAAGCCCUGGGCUCAACCUGGGAAUGGCAUUGGAUACUGGCGGGCUAGAGUGCGGUAGAGGGUAGUGGAAUUCCCGGUGUAGCAGUGAAAUGCGUAGAGAUCGGGAGGAACAUCUGUGGCGAAGGCGACUGCCUGGACCAGCACUGACACUGAGGCACGAAAGCGUGGGGAGCAAACAGGAUUAGAUACCCUAGUAGUC
rnacentral:rRNA from 1 species